UUUGAAUAACUUUGAACACCUUUAUUGGAUGGCUGUUAUCUUUUGUGGUUGAAUUAAUUAUCUUGAGGGCAAAGAAAACGAAAACUAGAUGGUUUGAUAUUUUGCUUUUGUGAGAAUUUGUCAUUUGGAAUUACAAUGUUUUGAAUCACUUUGGCAUGACCUUGUGAAGCACAAAACAUUAACCCUUAAAGAGGCUAUGUAAUAU
rnacentral:misc_RNA from 1 species